AACUAUCAUCAGAAAUCACAUCCACAAAUCACUACCUUCUCAAGUUUUUCAAAAAGAUCAUCACUGCUCACGUUCCUUCUUCCUCUUCCCCCACUCUCAUCCGUAUUCAGUGAGAUUCAUCCCAGUAACCGGCACCUAAGCCAUCAUCACUCCGGUCAUAGCAACUUCUCCUCCUCUCCUCGGUGACGACUCAGUAUCUCCAUAGCGUUUGUUCCCUAAUUUUCAUCUUCACAAGCAACUAGGUCUCCCCUUAUCUUCACCUGGCUGCCCUCAUCGCCAUUCCAGGUUAGUGAAGAGAACUCUUGAUGGGUCAACGUAUGGGCAUGUCUCAUGAUUGCACGCUUUGUUAAGCAUUGCAGCUCAAAUUCAAUCCCGCAGAGCUUAAUUUGGAAGAGAAUUAGAGGGAACAUGAGGAGGGUAUGGGUAUCAUGGAGUGUGAGGGGCUUAUGUCAAUCAUCGAAAAGGAAGGUUGUCAUGCAGUCUUUGAAGAAGCUGAAACCUGGAUUGAUUUUGUUCCAGAAUACUAAACUCGAUGACAGCAAGGAGAAAUUCUUUGAUGACUGAACUUUACCUCUGAAUAUGGAAUUUAUAUCGGUACCAGCAGAAGGCUCAUCAGGGGACUUGCCAUAUUCUGGAAACGUGACUGCUUUGUGAUCAAUAGGGUGAUAAAAAAUCAAAGAUUUCUUCUUAUGGAGGUAAGCUUUUUGCUAAACUUCAGUGGUAUUAGAGUAAAUGUGAAAACAAAGAGAUCCUAAAAGAAUGAUUGGGUUGUCCCUCCGGCUGGCGUACUAAAUUUUAAUGUGGAUGGUUCGGCUUUGGGAGCGCCUUGCAAAAGUGGUUUUGGAGGAGUUCUUAAAGAUUCAAAGAGACAAGUGGUGGGGAUUUUUUUCAAAGGCUCUGGGGAAACUUUGUGCUUAUGAAGCCGAGGUUAAAGCUAUCCUUCAAGGGUUGAUUUUCUGCCAGCAACAUCAACUAAAUCACAUUCUGAUUGAAAGUGAUUCGACACUAGCUGUGGGUACCACAUCAAACCAAGCUAACAGGCCUUGGAGACUAAUUCAGAACUUGAAUCUCAUAGAUGCUAUGAGUGUGGAGGUUGAUUGCAUAGGCAUUAAGCACAUAUACGGUGAAUCUCAUAGAUGCUUUGAGUGUGGAGGUUGAUUUCAUAGACAUUAAGCACAUAUACCGUGAAUUGAAUUCCAUCGCUGAUUUUUUUGGCAAAGUCUGGUUGCCAUAGGGAGUCAAACAUAUGGUCCUCCUUUGGCUAAAACUCCGGCAUAAAGCUGUUUUCAAUGUCUGAUAUACUGCUCGGACAUAUUGAUUUUGCUGGUUCAAUUAGGCCUGAUCUGAUAAGUUUUAUGUAGAGGUGUGCUGGAAUUUUAGAGUGCCUGAGGAGCUUAUCAUUCUAUUUCUUGCUGCAGAUUUUUGAGGCCUCGGUUCAGAUCAUUUUUUUUUUGUCUUAUUAGCUCUAAAUGAUAUUGAAGGCUCUUCAUGUGGGAUUCUAAGGUGUACUGUUAUGUUGCUUAGCUUUUGUCACAGGAUUCUAAUGAGCUACUUGAUUGUCAUGGUCUCUCCUCAAAGUUUCUGAAGAAUGCUCCUUCUCUCUUUUCUAUUCGAUUCAUUUGCAGGUUAAGCAUGCUCAGAGGUGUUCGGGCUGCCUCUUCAGGUUAGAAAGCUGAAAGAAAUUAUGAGCAUUGAAGCCAAGUAAGAGAAGAAGGAUCUAAAUUCUAAGAACUAUCCUUCAUCUGAUACUCAGGUCUGUCAUGCAUAAUAAAGUUGAGCUUUAGGCAGUUUUCAAUUUUUGUCUAAAUGGAAGAAAGUGGGUGAUCUGCCUUGUGCUUCAAACAGUUCAGCUCUGAAGCAUAAGCAAAAGUGAAUGAGCUCAGUUUCAAUCUGCCUAACCAUUGCUAAUAAGGUGUAUCUUGAAGGACUAAAACGAAUUGGGAAGGGUUGAUGUAUGCUGAUAGAUGUUUAGAGAGGCUGAAGAAUUACCUGCAACUUUGGCAGCAAGUAAGGGACAAGUAGUGGAAGGUACUAAUUAGUGGAAAAGUUUGAAGAAAAAUGAAAUGUGAAAAAUGUUGUCUUGGAAGUGAAUGUUCGAAUCUACUUGACGUUAUCCUUGGAGCAAGGCAAAGGAAAAUGGUUUCUUUGACUGACCUUUGACAAAUCAAAUUUGAGUGUUACUGAAAGUCUGGGAAAAGGAAAAUGGGAGGGCAGUCAAAUUUGAGAGUCUGGGUGCAACAAGGAAAAUCAAAUUUGGUCAUUGUUUUAAUACUCAUUGAUAAUUAUGAGUUUUCUUCUUUGUGUUAUCUUCUACUUUAUAGAGCUGGAUGGGUGGUGUCUUCUUAAGAUUAUGCAUGGACUAAAGAAAUUCUGGAGUGUAUCUACUUUUGUUGGUUCUGAAUAGAGUUUUGAGUGAUCUGUAAUAAAGGGACAUGUACUCUUCCCUCUUGGUCUUAUCUCUCGCAGAUAGCCUCCACCUUUCUAUCCUUCUCUUUAUUUUUUCAUUUGUGCCUUGAUCUGAGAUAGAACUGGGAUGGAUUUAUUUUGUAUUGGUGGUGGGGCUGCCACGUGAUGAUGUACUACAUUGGGGUUGUUUCUUUUUUUCAUACAUUGUAAUUGAGGUUUAUGUACUUAGCAUUGUUGUUGGAACUUGGGAAAGUGUGUUCCCAAGCUUUCUUUGUCUAUCAAUUCAAUAUUUGUGCUUAAAAAAGUCUAUGAAAUUGGAGAACGAUUAAAGUCAA